rnacentral:rRNA from 1 species
AUACAUGCAAGUCGAGCGAAUGGAUUGAGAGCUUGCUCUCAAGAAGUUAGCGGCGGACGGGUGAGUAACACGUGGGUAACCUGCCCAUAAGACUGGGAUAACUCCGGGAAACCGGGGCUAAUACCGGAUAACAUUUUGAACUGCAUGGUUCGAAAUUGAAAGGCGGCUUCGGCUGUCACUUAUGGAUGGACCCGCGUCGCAUUAGCUAGUUGGUGAGGUAACGGCUCACCAAGGCAACGAUGCGUAGCCGACCUGAGAGGGUGAUCGGCCACACUGGGACUGAGACACGGCCCAGACUCCUACGGGAGGCAGCAGUAGGGAAUCUUCCGCAAUGGACGAAAGUCUGACGGAGCAACGCCGCGUGAGUGAUGAAGGCUUUCGGGUCGUAAAACUCUGUUGUUAGGGAAGAACAAGUGCUAGUUGAAUAAGCUGGCACCUUGACGGUACCUAACCAGAAAGCCACGGCUAACUACGUGCCAGCAGCCGCGGUAAUACGUAGGUGGCAAGCGUUAUCCGGAAUUAUUGGGCGUAAAGCGCGCGCAGGUGGUUUCUUAAGUCUGAUGUGAAAGCCCACGGGCUCAACCGUGGAGGGUCAUUGGGAAACUGGGAGACUUGAGUGCAGAAGAGGAAAGU